AACGCUGGCGGCGUGCCUAACACAUGCAAGUCGAACGGAGAUAUUCCGCCGUUUGAAGCUUCGGCAGAAAACAUGGGAUAUCUUAGUGGCGAACGGGUGAGUAACGCGUGGGCAACCUGCCCCGUACCGGGGGAUAGCAGUUGGAAACGACUGAUAAUACCGCAUAAGCGCACGGUGUGGCAUCACACAGUGUGAAAAACUCCGGUGGUACGGGAUGGGCCCGCGUCUGAUUAGCUGGUUGGCGGGGUAACGGCCCACCAAGGCGACGAUCAGUAGCCGGGCUGAGAGGCCGGACGGCCACAUUGGGACUGAGACACGGCCCAGACUCCUACGGGAGGCAGCAGUGGGGGAUAUUGCACAAUGGGGGAAACCCUGAUGCAGCGACGCCGCGUGAGUGAAUGAAGUAUUUCGGUAUGUAGAGCUCUAUCAGCAGGGAAGAAAGCCCGCGAAAGCGGGGAUGACGGUACCUGACUAAGAAGCCCCGGCUAACUACGUGCCAGCAGCCGCGGUAAUACGUAGGGGGCAAGCGUUAUCCGGAUUUACUGGGUGUAAAGGGGGCGCAGACGGGAUAGCAAGUCUGAAGUGAAAACCCACGGCUCAACUGUGGGCUUGCUUUGGAAACUGUUAUUCUUGAGUGUCGGAGGGGUAAGCGGAAUUCCUGGUGUAGCGGUGAAAUGCGUAGAUAUCAGGAAGAACACCGGUGGCGAAGGCGGCUUACUGGACGACAACUGACGUUGAGGCCCGAAGGCGUGGGGAGCAACAGGAUUAGAUACCCUGGUAGUCCCGCGGUAAACGAUGAAUACUAGGUGUUGGAAGCAAGCUUUCAGUGCGGACUACGUG
rnacentral:rRNA from 1 species